rnacentral:tRNA from 1 species
GAUAGCCGGGCGGGCGGUGCCCGCGACGGUGCCGGCGUCGGUUCCGGCGUCGGUGCCGGUGUCGGUGUCGGUUCCGGUGCCCGCGGCCGUCCC